rnacentral:lncRNA from 1 species
CUGGGAGUGUGUUUGGAGAGCUGCUUCGUAGCUGUGGAAAGUCCUUGAAAAUGCAAAUGGAAUUGAUGUGAGUUGAUGAAAAUGGGGGUUUCCUUGUCUCUCUGUCACGUUCGUCGUAUGGAGUGGACCAAAACGCAGUGGGAAUUAAGAAACACUUCUUUAGAGGGCUUGUAUGACCUCUGUCCUGAUCACCCUCACUGGAAGCCAUUUGGAUAAUGAAUUUAAGGUAAUUUGUAAUACUGAUUUGAAGGUAAUUUGUAAUAUUGAUAAUUAUGAUGAAGUUUAUAGUUCUUAGCCAUAUUUGUGAUUUGAACCAACGGGAAGGAAAGGGCAUUGCCAUUAACUAAGGGUAGGCUGUCUUAAGUCUAUUUUACUAUGACCAUAUGGGUACAAUUAUUUUAACUUGAUUUUGUUAUUUGAAAUGAUUUUGUUUUAUUUUUUGACCAGUAGUAGAGUUUUUUUUUUUUUUUUACACAUUACUCACAUGUGGAGUUAUGUGUCAAAAUGGGGGGGGUAACAGUCCUCUGAGGUUUUGAAUUGAAGUUUACACGCCUUGAGUGAUAUGUAGGAGUGUAUUGAGUGAUAUGUGAAGGAGUAUAUUGUUGUGUUUGUUCUGUUCUGUUUUGAUACAAAACUCACCAGAUUAGGUCUGCUGGAUUGUUGGGAUUUCUCCCGAUGAGUUAUAGGUCGAACUUCCUGAUCCUGUGGCUCUGCGAUGAAAUUGACAGUGUGAUGGGGAGUACAAGCCAAUUUAAAAAAAUAGUUUCAGUUGAAUGUGUUGUUGGUCUAUUUGACACUUGUUUAGACAUUGGUAUUAAGAAUAAUUGGUACAAGUAAUUAUUUAUCAUAUAGUUAAUGCUUGUCUGGAUUUCCUGAAUAAAAAAUGUUACAGAACUAAACUGUUGUUCUGAUCUGUCCUCUCGAGGUUAUCAUGAAAGGUGAGGUCAGUCGGUGUCUUAAUGCAUGGAAGAGAUAAUUGGACCGAACAGUGUGUGUACCUCAAAACCCACUCUAACUCGCUGAAGAAGAGUGACAAAGGCGUUGAAUACGGCCCUGUCCACACCACUUCUACCGAGAGACCUGAGUCCUGAGCCAGCAACUUGUAUGCAGCGUACGAACUCUCAGGAGUGUGACAGGAGUCCACGUGGAGUGAGCAUGGGGAGAGAUCUGUUCCAAACUUCUCUUAUGUUGCUGGUGUACUGGUUGACAAAUAGAAUAGACAUAAUGGGUGGUAAAGGUGGUGGCGGCUCAGGUAGGACAUUGAAAUUGGGACAUUUUCAUGGGCCAUCCACUUUGCACUGUAAAGCUAUGUGAAAAAGACAAUGAAGAAGACGCCAGAAGAAUCGGUGCUUGAUGGGUGUGUGUGUGUGUGUGUGUGUGUGUGUGUGUGUGUGUGUGUGUGUGUGUGUGUGUGUGUGUGUGUGUGUGUGUGUGUGUGUGUGUGUGUGUGUGUGUGUGUGUGUGUGUGUGUGU